rnacentral:rRNA from 1 species
AGGGCACCACCAGGAAUGGAGCCUGCGGCUUAAUUUGACUCAACACGGGAAAACUUACCCGGCCCGGACACAGGAAGGAUUGACAGAUUAAGAGCUCUUUCUUGAUUCUGUGGGUGGUGGUGCAUGGCCGUUCUUAGUUGGUGGAGCGAUUUGUCUGGUUAAUUCCGAUAACGAACGAGACUCUAGCCUACUAAAUAGACGUUCCGAUCAUCUUCGUCGGACGUUCUUCUUAGAGGGACAAGCGGCGUUCAGCCGCACGAGACAGAGCGAUAACAGGUCUGUGAUGCCCUUAGAUGUCCGGGGCCGCACGCGCGCUACACUGAAGUGAUCAGCGUGCAUCAGUAACCCUCUCUGUCAAGAGUGGGUAACCCAAUGAACCUUCUUCGUGAUUGGGAUAGGGCAUUGUAAUUAUUGCCCUUGAACGAGGAAUUCCCAGUAAGCGCGAGUCAUAAGCUUGCGUUGAUUACGUCCCUGCCCUUUGUACACACCGCCCGUCGCUACUACCGAUUGAAUGAUUUA